rnacentral:rRNA from 1 species
AUUGAACGCUGGCGGCAGGCCUAACACAUGCAAGUCGGACGGUAGCACAGAGAGCUUGCUCUUGGGUGACGAGUGGCGGACGGGUGAGUAAUGUCUGGGGAUCUGCCCGAUAGAGGGGGAUAACCACUGGAAACGGUGGCUAAUACCGCAUAACGUCGCAAGACCAAAGAGGGGGACCUUCGGGCCUCUCACUAUCGGAUGAACCCAGAUGGGAUUAGCUAGUAGGCGGGGUAAUGGCCCACCUAGGCGACGAUCCCUAGCUGGUCUGAGAGGAUGACCAGCCACACUGGAACUGAGACACGGUCCAGACUCCUACGGGAGGCAGCAGUGGGGAAUAUUGCACAAUGGGCGCAAGCCUGAUGCAGCCAUGCCGCGUGUAUGAAGAAGGCCUUCGGGUUGUAAAGUACUUUCAGCGGGGAGGAAGGCGGUACGGUUAAUAACCGUACCGAUUGACGUUACCCGCAGAAGAAGCACCGGCUAACUCCGUGCCAGCAGCCGCAGUAA